rnacentral:misc_RNA from 1 species
AAGUCGUAACAAGGUUUCCGUAGGUGAACCUGCGGAAGGAUCCUCGCAUCAACGCUUGUAUACCAAUAUUCAAACUCAAUGUGAACCGUAACGUCCCUAGUUUUGUUCAUUUACUUCGGUAAGUGGAUGAAAUUAGACAAUACCUUGUUAAAAAUUCAACUGUCUACUUCGGUAGCGGUUUGGGUUUCUAACGUUUAUUCCCGAAAUUUUAACCCUAUAAACUAAAUGUUUGUCUUAUCUUCUUCAGACUGAGUUUGGAUCAGGAGAAUUUAAUCGUUCUCUUUGUUUCUUUUUCAGCUUUGUUACGAAAUUUAGAACAACUCUUAGCAAUGGAUAUCUUGGGUCAU